rnacentral:rRNA from 1 species
CACGUAGGGGGCGAGCGUUGUCCGGAUUUAUUGGGCGUAAAGAGCUCGUAGGCGGCUCGGUAAGUCGGGUGUGAAACCUCCAGGCUCAACCUGGAGACGCCACUCGAUACUGCCGUGGCUAGAGUCCGGUAGAGGAGCGUAGAAUUCCUGGUGUAGCGGUGAAAUGCGCAGAUAUCAGGAGGAACACCGGUGGCGAAGGCGGCAUUCUGGACCGAUAUUGACGCUGAGGAGCGAAAGCCAGGGGAGCAAACGGG